GACAGAGGGUGCAAACGUUGUUCGGAAUCACUGGGCGUAAAGCGCACGUAGGCGGAUCGUUAAGUCGGGGGUGAAAUCCCGAGGCUCAACCUCGGAACUGCCUUCGAUACUGGCGAUCUUUGAGUCCGGGAGAGGUGAGUGGAACUCCGAGUGUAGAGGUGAAAUUCGUAGAUAUUCGGAAGAACACCAGUGGCGAAGGCGGCUCACUGGCCCGGUACUGACGCUGAGGUGCGAAAGCGUGGGGAGCAAACAGG
rnacentral:rRNA from 1 species